GACAGAAGAGACGAUCAUGAGGGGUCGGAGGGCAACGGCGGAGGCAGGGGGGGAGGCGGUGGCUCGGACGUGGAUUUAGAUAAGUCAGACGACGACGGGGACGGGGACGGGGAAGACGACAGGUAGGGAGUAGUAGGAGCAGGAGGCGAGGUAGUAGGAACGGAGGACAGACAGACGCAGCAGAGCGAGCGAGCGAGCGAGGAGGAGAUAUGACAGCGUGACAUAUGUGCAGGCUUGGUGGGGACGUGGGGUUUGAUUGUGCCCAGGUUGAUUUGUGCCCUUUUUGUAUUUGUAUUUUGGCUCCAUUACGUGGGUGAGACCUUUUUUCGAAAAGAAAGAAAUGGCGUAAUGAAAUGAGAGGUGCGGGGUGGCGAGCCCCCACCGACGGUGCAUAUUACAGCAGUGGAUGGGUGUACAGAGGGGUGGGGGGGGGAUGAAGCAUUGGGGUAUGUGAUUGUGGGACAUGGUGAUAACGACGAGGGGGAAGUUGUGCGGUGUGGUGGUGAGCAGUGCAGGUAAUCGGCGUGGGAGGCCGUGUUCAUCGUCAUUUGUUUUUGGGGCGUUGUCUCUUUUUUGGGAUUGGUUUGACUUUUGUAUAUAGAGUUGCUGUUCGCAGCUUGUUGUUGUGGUCGGUUUCUUGCUACUUGUAUUGCAUUAGAUGUAAUAGGGCUUUUGGAGGUUUUUUUGUUUUGUUACUUCGGUAUUAGAUAUCGUGGUCUUGUGGACUUUGUUGCUGUUACAUUGCCAUGGUAACCGAGUUAUUGAUUGCAGCUUUUCUUGUCUGUUUGUUUUGCAAUAUGUUGGGACACUGCCCCGUUUAUAAUCUUGUUUAUUUGUCGUUAUAGUAAUGUUUGCGAUGAUGGGUAUGUUAGGACUAACAAUUAGUGGAAGCAUUUGCUUGUUUGGGAUUGUGUAUGUAGCAUUCUUGAUGUGGGAAUUUGCCUUUGAUUGGUGGUUUGUACUGUUGGCGGUCAAAUAUUUGCAAGUGUAAAUGAUCCCCAUUGGGUAUGAUCUUGUACGUUUUACUGAACAAUUAUUUUUUAGGCAUGUAAUCCAUGGCUUGCAAUUCACUGUUUGAGUUUGUUGAUUUGAAUAAUGUUUGCAUGCAGCCUGGAAUCACCGUGUUUUGUUUUAUCUCUAAAUGCUGUGCAGGGGGGAUUCUCGUUCAGCAAGAAUAGGAACGCUUGACGAAGUGCUUGCAGUAGUUAUUUGGAUUGAUUCAGGACAGUGCUGUGUAUGUUCUGAUUCCUCGACACAUUUUUUCAGCAAUUGGCACAACGUGAGCCUUACUCCCUGUUUCGAUGUCUAGAUUGUUCCUUAUUGGUCAGCUGUGUGCGAGGUUGCACUGGAAGAAUCUGAUUGUGCAACAACGCAUUUGUCAGCAGCCGCUUACAUCCUAUUCCCAGUGCAGCAACUUUGGUAUAUUUUACGCGAAGUUCCACGCAUAGUCCUCUAGAUUGUAAUGGUGAAAAAAUAUGAGUGUUUAAUCACCUUCGGAUGACCAGACGGUGCUGCAUCGAGCGAUAUUUUUCAAAUCGAAGUUCACCCCCGAAAAGUGGGAGUGCUACGCAAAGCUUGCUCUCGAGGGAAGUAGCUGAGUUUCUAUGUCCCGCCACGUAAACUAUGGUGUAUGUUUAUUUGUCGUGAUGAUGCUUCUCAUAUCGGAAAUGUUCUGGUGGGCAGCGUCUCUAAAGAUGUUAGCUACUAAGAUUUGCCACUAACGUCCAAAUGCCUUCUAUGAUAUAGCCUCUGAAAGUCCUCAGAAUCUUUCGACGAGCUAAAUGAGCUAAUAAGAUUCUGAGCCUUGUAACAGAGAGCAGUUAGCUUUCUGUACGAACAGGACUACCAUGCUUAAAUUAUUUAGUUCUAUGGUUACAAUGUUUGGAAUUUGAACCAGACAUCGACUCCUCCGAAUAUCACCAAAUAAUUUAAUCAAACGGAAGAGAAACCACUAUGGAGAUGAAUUACAAGGCUUCCGUUGCCUUUCUCCUGGAAUUAUCUAUGCACCAAACAUGGUUUGGUUUUCCAGCAGCUUUUGCUCAUGUGAAUAAAAAAAAGAUACAGUUCUAGAGAAAUGACAUCAUGUUGAUCCUCGAAUCGAAUCACUUAUAUGACCGUAAUAUAGAAACUGUUUGGAGAUUGCUAAGCCACUGCCAACAUGGCUGCAGGAAUUAAAACGGCAGGACAGAGGGACACAACACAAAGCCUUAGCUCUUCCACCAGCGAGCCAUGAAAAGAUCUUCCCGACUGAAAAUUAGAAGGUGUGGAGUCGGAUUAUCGUGCGCAAUCGUAUUGUGCGGAAGGCAACAAUUACGAUUGCCAAGACGGGACACAGAGAGCGAAGCUCGUGGACACGGCGACGGAGCCGGACUCGCGACGUGGCACCGUUUGGCAGGACCCGCUUCCCCUCGAUCCCGCCCACACAGUGGCUUGGGAACAUGUUCUCUUCGUUCCCUUACUGCUCCCAAACUUCCCUGCUGGGGUUUACCGAGUUGCAGUGUUAAAAGUCCAGAAAUUAUAUGUAAACCACAUUCCCAUGUGAAUUAUUUUCUAUAUAAAAAAAAAGAAAAAUUAAAUAAUAAAGAUUCCGUUCUAUUGGAA